AGGCGACGUAGCAAAGUGGUAAUGCAGCGGUCUGCAAAACCGCCAUUCGCCGGUUCGAUCCCGGCCGUCGCCUCC
rnacentral:tRNA from 1 species